rnacentral:lncRNA from 1 species
UGGGCAUUGCUGCACUAAGGAGAGUCUUAACAGCUUAUGCUUUUCGAAAUCCCAACAUAGGGUAUUGCCAGGCCAUGAAUAUUGUCACUUCAGUGCUGCUGCUUUAUGCCAAAGAGGAGGAAGCUUUCUGGCUGCUUGUGGCUUUGUGUGAGCGCAUGCUCCCAGAUUACUACAACACCAGAGUUGUGGGUAAGUGGAGAUGCAUUUAACAUUUCAACCUAUGUCUCGUCAAGAAGAUGCUUUUAGAGAGGUGCCAGCCAGAACACUAUUUCUGGUCACCAUAAGCCAAAAGAGUUUCAGACUACUCCAGUUUUUCAAAAUGGAAAUGAGAGAGGUUGAAUAAAUAUAGGUUGUAUACAA